UACGUAGGGGCAAGCGUUGUCCGGAUUUAUUGGGCGUAAAGAGCGUGUAGGCGGCCUGAAAGGUCAGCUGUGAAAACUCGAGGCUCAACCUCGAGACGUCGGUUGAAACCAUUUGGCUAGAGUCCGGAAGAGGAGAGUGGAAUUCCCGGUGUAGCGGUGAAAUGACGCAGAUAUCAGGAAGAACACCGAUGGCGAAGGCAGCCCCCUGGGCUAACACUGACGCUCUGCACGAAAGCGUGGGGAGCAAACAGG
rnacentral:rRNA from 1 species